rnacentral:tRNA from 1 species
UGCCCCCAUAGUUUAAUGGAUAAAACAAAGGCCUUCUAAGCCUUGGAUCCAAGUUCGAUUCUUGGUGGGGGCAA